AGCUGAAGCGGAACAUGCAGCGGGAUCUGGAGACGCCAGAGGGUGGCUCCAUGCCAAUCAGAUGAGCCAGCGGCAGAACUCCAGCUACACCUAAAUGAUGAAGAGCCAAGUUUUCGAAAAUGUCAUGGACAAUGACAGCAGAGUGGCCCAAACAAUGGCAUUUGGAAAUGAAGACAUUUGUGAAAUAAAUGGAUUUAUCUUAUUAUUUUAAA